rnacentral:rRNA from 1 species
UGGGGAAUUUUGCACAAUGGGGGAAACCCUGAUGCAGCGACGCCGCGUGAUUUAGAAGGCCUUCGGGUUGUAAAAAUCUUUUGUAUGGGAAGAAAAUGACAGUACCAUACGAAUAAGGACCGGCUAAUUACGUGCCAGCAGCCGCGGUAAUACGUAAGGUCCGAGCGUUGUCCGGAAUCAUUGUGCGUAAAGGGUACGUAGACGGAUAAGCAAGUUAGAAGUGAAAUCCUAUAGCUCAACUAUAGUAAGCUUUUACAACUGCUCAUCUUGAGGUAUGGAAGGGAAAGUGGAAGUCCUAGUGUAGCGGUGAAAUGCGCAGAUAUUAGGAGGAAUACCGGUGGCGAAGGCGACUUUCUGGCCAUAUACAGACGAUGAGGUACGAAAGCGUGGGUAGCAAACAGG